rnacentral:lncRNA from 1 species
UCGCCGCCGCCGACGGCGACAUCGUCUCCGUCUUCACCCGCAACCCCCAGGUUCUCAACGCCGACCUCAACAAGUCCAUCUUGCCCAUCCUCGCCGUCCUCCGCAAGCACAACCUGCCCGAGGAGAGAAUCUCUAGGCUCGUCAAGAUCCAUCCCAGAGUGCUCAUUCUCUCGCUCCGCCGCGUGAACGAGAUCGUCGACCAGCUUAAGGCCGCCGGGGUCCUGCCGUCCGAUCUGGCCUUCAUCUACGCGUUCCGCGUGGUCGCCGCACAGAAGAGCGCGAGCUGGGACCGGAAGGUGGCGGCCUUCGAGAGCUCCGGGCUCUCGGCGGCGGACGUCGCUUCGUCGUUCCGGAGGCACCCCUGGGUCAUGCUGACGUCCGCGGAGAAGAUACGGCGAAGCCUCGAGUUUUUUCUCCGCCGGCUGAAGCUCGCCCCCGACGACAUCGUUCGGCAUCCGAUUCUCCUCAAGUUCAGCCUGGAGAAGAGGAUCCUUCCCAGGUGCGCCGUGAUGAGCCUUCUUAAGAGGAAGGGGAAGUUGGAAGAGAGCGCGAGUGUCGUCCGGGCGCUGCUGGUGACCACGAGCUCAUUCUUGAAGAGAUAUGUGGUGAGGUAUCAGGAUGAUGUUCCUGCGGUUCUCAAGGCUUACAACGGCGAAAUCAAAUUCAAUGGAUGAUUGGGAAAUCGAUCGAAGUAGGAUGCUCGAAUUUAACUCUUAGGACGGCAAUGGUAAGAGAAUCGCCGGCAAGCACUCACUCUCUUGUACGAGGUAAUGAGCUUUUAAGCAUUUGCAGUUUGCAAGGAUCUUCCUUGUCUCCGAUUAGAAGCUUAACACCUCUUUUGUGCUGCUUACAUAGUACGCCGAACAAUUCUUGAUGCGUUAAUAGAGAAGCAACUAGCUAGCUAGGAAUCCAAAAUGUUUAUCUCGGAUUAAAAGUCUUAGAUCGUGGCCCAAUUGCAAAUUGUAACACCUGAUGUUCAAAAGGUUGAAAUUUCCUACUUAAUUUAUACGCUGGUUUAUCGUCUUCAGUUCAGUUUCUUUUCUUUAAGAAAACUCAGGUCAAAAGAGGUCCAGCGUAGUUGGUUCGGAAAGUUUUCAAACAAAGAAGAAGAUCCUCACAAGAUUUGGUUAGAGGAGAACAUCUUGCUAUUCUUCGGAUGGCAAGAAAUCUUUUUCCUUGCUUCUUUUUAUGAAAUAUGUCAUCUAAACACUAGCUUGUCUGCAUUUACUUUGCCUCUUCACUUUUGAGUGUCGUCAAUUAAACAACUUACUCAAAUGAAAUCCCCAAGAGACUAGCUCUGUUGAUUUUCAUCUUUUGUUUCGCCUCUCUUUCUAGAAUUCUCGGCACUUAGAAUUGAACAACGAAAUCAAAGUGAGAAGAACUUUAAUGUCCUGCGGAUGAUCUAGGCCUUUUGUGUUUGGGAUGAAGUGUUACAUCUACGGCACGAUUGCAUGAAAUUGGUUGUUUUAUUUUGUUUUUACCCCUAGAUUGCUAAUUAAUGUUUUGAACAAAGAGUCCCUGAUGUAAUACCUAUUGCAAGUUUUUACAAGGUCGGUUUCUUCUGCAUUGUUUGCUGAAUAGAAGUGCUUAGACAUAGGCCCUGUUAUGAGGUUUAUUCUGAGACAAAAUAGAACUGUUAUCGGCAUAAGGUGGUGAUCAUUGUUAAAGAAUUGUGAUUACAGUCUCCUAUUCGAGGCUUUUACUAUGUGAUGGGACCGAAAUUUUGCCUCGUCUCUUCAUCUAUAUUAUGAAAAUAUAUCUAAUUUUGCUAUUUCUUCGCAUUUGUACAACUAGGAAUAAAAAUGGUAUCGCGCAGAUGUAUCUAUUUUCGCGAACUCUAUAGUACCUGUGGUUUUGUUAUUAGUCUUUUAAUUCUGCAGUUGCAUUACAGCGCUAGUUUUGUUCAAAAUCUUGUAUUCGGGAUACUCAGAUUCUGCAGUUUUUUUUUUUUUUUUUUUUUUUUGCCCAUAGUUUUGUUUGGCAGUACAUUGAUACACCUGCUUUAGUCAUUUUAUUCAUAUAACUUAAAGCAUUUGUGGGACUAUGUUUAUUAUUGCUAAGUCGUGCAUUUUAAUUUAAUUUAUUAUUUUUUUUUAGUAAUUUGAUUGCUAGUCAUAUAAUUAUUAUUAUUAUUAUUAUUAUUAUUAUUUUUUAGGUUUUAAGGUAUUUACAUAUAAGAACUAAUAUUGUUUUGUUUAUGGUAUUUGAUUUUUGUUUUUCUAAAUCCUGCCUCUUCGCCUAUUGCAAUAUGUGCAUCACUGCGAGUGGAAGGAUUUGAUUUUACUCCAAUAGAAAAUAAGCAAUUUAUCUAUGGGUUUUACCAACUGCAGUCAUUUACAAAAUGUUAGUAAAAUUAAAGGCUUAUUUUACUGUCAAGAGGCUGCUAUCGCGGAUUGCGAAUAAUGUGGGUCGAAGAGCUAUUCGACAAUGUUAUUUAGUCAAGGAUUAAUCACUGAUAUCAUAAACAGUAAUGUUAGCGAGAUAUCAUAAAUAUGCAAGUAUUUUUUAAUUAUAUUAUAUAGCAUUAUUAUUAUAUAUUAUUAUUUUAGUAUAAUAUUUAAUUGUAAAAUGCUCAUUUGUAGACCAAAUUUGGUAGAUAUAAUUUUUCCAGUUUUACCUUUUAUAAUAGAAAUAAAAUUGGUAAAUAUUAAUCAUAAAUAAAAUUAAAAAGUGUACUAAUGAAGAAAAAAUAAAAAUAUAAAAAAAUUUACUAGAUUUAUUCAGAAUAGUAUUGGUUUACUAGUUUGCUUGUGUGUGUGUGUGUGUGUGUGUGUGUGUGAGGAAAGUAGUUGGUGCUCCGAGUCCACCCGCCAGGGGGAGCGGAGGAAGAGCACGACGACGAGUCGACGAACGCAAAACCCUUCCCCAAACCCUAGAAAAAAAGUGUCGACUACGAUGCUCAACUCCAUUCGCCAUCGCCAUCGCCAUCGCCUCCUCAGACCCCCUUCUUCUCCACACGGCCUCGCCUUCCUCUUCCUCAAAUCCCUCUCCUCCACCACCUCCUCCGUCGCCCCCCACUCCCAAACCCUAACCUUCCUCAUCGACUCCUGCGGCUUGUCCCCCGAAUCCGCCAUUUCCGCGUCCCAGAAGCUGCGCUUCAAGAGCACCGAGAACCCUAGCGCCGUCCUCCGCCUCCUCCGCGACUACGGCUUCGGCGAGACCCACAUCUACACGAUCAUCUCCAGGCACCCGAACCUGCUCUCCUGCGAUUCGCACAGGAUCCUCAGGCCGAAGAUCGAAGCUCUCCGCAGCUUCGGCUUCUCCGGCGAGUCGCUGGCGCGCGUCCUCACCGUCCAACCGGCGCUGCUGACGCGGAGCCUGGAGAAGCACAUCAUCCCCUGCCUCACCUUCCUCCGCACCCUCCUCGCCUCCGACGGCGACUUCGUCUCCGUCUUCACCCGCUACCCCCGCGGCCUCAACGCCGACCUCAACAGGUCCAUCUUGCCCAUCCUCGCCGUCCUCCGCAAGCACAACCUGCCCGAGGACAGGAUCCCUAAGCUCGUCAAGAUCCAUCCGAGAAUCCUGAUUCUCACGCUCCGCCGCGCCAUCGAGAUCGUCGACGGGCUUAAGGCCGCCGGGGUCCUGCCGUCCGACCUCCUCUUCAUCUACGCGUUCCGCGCGGUCGCCGGACAGAAGAGCGCGAGCUGGGACCGGAAGAUGGCGCUCUUCAAGAGCUUCGGGCUGUCGGAGGCCGACGUCGUUUCGGCGUUCCGGAG